ACAGGCUUAACACAUGCAAGUCGAGGGGCAGCAUGGUCUUAGCUUGCUAAGGCCGAUGGCGACCGGCGCACGGGUGAGUAACACGUAUCCAACCUGCCGUCUACUCUUGGACAGCCUUCUGAAAGGAAGAUUAAUACAAGAUGGCAUCAUGAGUCCGCAUGUUCACAUGAUUAAAGGUAUUCCGGUAGACGAUGGGGAUGCGUUCCAUUAGAUAGUAGGCGGGGUAACGGCCCACCUAGUCUUCGAUGGAUAGGGGUUCUGAGAGGAAGGUCCCCCACAUUGGAACUGAGACACGGUCCAAACUCCUACGGGAGGCAGCAGUGAGGAAUAUUGGUCAAUGGGCGAGAGCCUGAACCAGCCAAGUAGCGUGAAGGAUGACUGCCCUAUGGGUUGUAAACUUCUUUUAUAAAGGAAUAAAGUCGGGUAUGGAUACCCGUUUGCAUGUACUUUAUGAAUAAGGAUCGGCUAACUCCGUGCCAGCAGCCGCGGUAAUACGGAGGAUCCGAGCGUUAUCCGGAUUUAUUGGGUUUAAAGGGAGCGUAGAUGGAUGUUUAAGUCAGUUGUGAAAGUUUGCGGCUCAACCGUAAAAUUGCAGUUGAUACUGGAUAUCUUGAGUGCAGUUGAGGCAGGCGGAAUUCGUGGUGUAGCGGUGAAAUGCUUAGAUAUCACGAAGAACUCCGAUUGCGAAGGCAGCCUGCUAAGCUGCAACUGACAUUGAGGCUCGAAAGUGUGGGUAUCAAACAGGAUUAGAUACCCUGGUAGUCCACACGGUAAACGAUGAAUACUCGCUGUUUGCGAUAUACAGCAAGCGGCCAAGCGAAAGCGUUAAGUAUUCCACCUGGGGAGUACGCCGGCAACGGUGAAACUCAAAGGAAUUGACGGGGGCCCGCACAAGCGGAGGAACAUGUGGUUUAAUUCGAUGAUACGCGAGGAACCUUACCCGGGCUUAAAUUGCAGAUGAAUUACGGUGAAAGCCGUAAGCCGCAAGGCAUCUGUGAAGGUGCUGCAUGGUUGUCGUCAGCUCGUGCCGUGAGGUGUCGGCUUAAGUGCCAUAACGAGCGCAACCCUUGUUGUCAGUUACUAACAGGUUCCGCUGAGGACUCUGACAAGACUGCCAUCGUAAGAUGUGAGGAAGGUGGGGAUGACGUCAAAUCAGCACGGCCCUUACGUCCGGGGCUACACACGUGUUACAAUGGGGGGUACAGAGGGCCGCUACCACGCGAGUGGAUGCCAAUCCCCAAAACCUCUCUCAGUUCGGACUGGAGUCUGCAACCCGACUCCACGAAGCUGGAUUCGCUAGUAAUCGCGCACCAGCCACGGCGCGGUGAAUACGUUCCCGGGCCUUGUACAC
rnacentral:rRNA from 1 species